GUAAAGGCAACGGUUCUGCUUUCAGCAACCUCUUUUCGAAGGGAAAAAGGAGCUCGCCCGGAAUCGUUAAAUUUAACAGAAUGUCCGAAAUAUUGCUCAUUUUGUAACCGGAAAAUGCUGAGGACUCUUCGUUCCCGGCGCCGUCCUCGUUACGGUGCACAGGUGUGCGCCGUCAUCGCUGCUCUUCUUCUCCUCUUGUCGGUCACAGUUCUGCACAGUCGCCUUAGCUUCUCUCGCGACUCCCGCCUCUCCCCCAAAGUAGGGUUAGGGUUACGGUUUCCAAAUUCUAAAGUUCCCCCAGUAGACCCUCAAAACGACGCCGUUGUACUAGAUCCGCUCACCCAGGACUCCGAUCCCGGUGGAAACUCCGGCGCCGACGACCGGAUCGAUGAACUCGAUGUGAUGGAAGAGGAGGCGGAUCAGGCUGGGCUUUCCAACGAGGAGGAGAUUCUGAGAGGGGUGGAGUCGGAGGAUGAGGAGGUCGGUGAGUCUAGGGUUUCUGGGUAUUUCUUUGAUCAUGUGAGCGGGGUCAUACGACGAGCUUUUGAUAAGCGUUCGAUCGAUCAGUGGGAGGAUUAUGUGGGUUUUGAUGUUGGAUCGGGUAUGGACGAUCGGAGCAAGGGCGUGUUUGCGUCGGAUGAUGUGGUGGUUGAUGAGGAGGUGAGGAGGAAGGUGGGAGAGGUGGAUGGGAUCGAAGACAUGCUUUUGUUGAAGACGGGGCGGCGAGCAAAUCCAUUGAGAGAGGGCUGGGGCCCUUGGUUUGAUGCAAAAAGCGAUUUUCUGAGAAGGGAUAGAAUGUUCAAGUCGAAUUUGGAGGUGUUGAAUCCGAUGAAUAAUCCACUUCUGCAGGAUCCCGACGGGAUCGGAAUUACCAGCCUGACUAGGGGUGAUAGACUUGUUCAGAAGUUUUUGUUGAACAAAUUUAAGAAAGUUCCUUUCCUGGUUAAGAAAUCAUUGGGUGUUUCAGCUACUACAAAUCUUGGAUCGAGAUUGGUAGAAGAUGGUGGUCAAGUGGCAAUGAAGAUACGUGAUAGUUUAAAUAUACAGAAAAUCACAUUGGGGAGUGAUGUGGAAGGUAGAAGAACUGAAAUUAGGAGAGCUGAGCGCAGAACUUUACAUGACAGCUAUGGUUUUGGUUUGAAUACUAAAAAAAUUGUCGAUGUUAAUGAGGUUUUAAAUGUCACUACUACUGGGAAUUCAUCAUACAAGCAUGAUAGGAAUGAGACUGUUGAAUACAAAAGCGUGCAAAAUAUUAGUGAAUUGGGUCACAAGAAUGGGGAUUCUAAAGCUAGGAGAUUGGGUCACAAGAAUGAGGAUUCCAAAGCUAGGAGGAAAUCUGAGUUGUCUGGUCACAUAUACGCUGAUGGGAAGAGAUGGGGAUAUUUUCCUGGUUUACAUCCCCGCUUAUCUUUUUCAAACUUCAUGAAUGCGUUCAUCAGGAAAGGGAAGUGUCGGAUGAGGUUUUUCAUGGUGUGGAAUUCCCCACCAUGGAUGUUUAGCAUUAGACACCAACGUGGUCUUGAGAGUCUACUCUCCCACCAUCGAGAUGCUUGUGUUGUGGUAUUUUCUGAGACAAUUGAGCUUGAUUUCUUCAAAGACUUUGUAGAGAAGGGUUUCAAAGUUGCUGUUGCCAUGCCAAAUCUUGAUGAACUUCUGAAGAAUACAGCAGCUCAUAUAUUUGCAUCUGUCUGGUUUGAAUGGAGAAAAACAAACUUCUAUUCUACUCACUACAGUGAACUUGUUCGUCUUGCUGCUCUCUACAAAUAUGGUGGAAUCUAUCUUGAUUCUGACAUUAUUGUCGUGAAACCUCUUUCUUCACUUAAUAAUUCUGUUGGCUUAGAGGAUCAACUUGCUGGAAGUUCUUUAAAUGGUGCUGUGAUGGUAUUUAGAAAGCACAGCCCUUUCAUAAUGGAGUGCUUGAAUGAGUUCUAUUCAACAUAUGAUGAUACAUGUUUGAAGUGUAAUGGGGCUGAUCUUUUGACAAGAGUAGCUAAAAAUUUUUUGAGUAAAGAAAAUGCCUCUGAUAAACAGCUGGAGCUUCUAGUGCAGCCCUCCUUUAUUUUCUUCCCUAUUAGUCCUCACAAUAUCACAAGGUACUUUACUACACCUGCAACAGAAACUGAAAAGGCUGAGCAAGAUAUUUUGUUUUCAAAGAUUCUGAAUGAGUCUUUCACAUUUCAUUUUUGGAAUAGCUUGACGUCAGCUCUCAUUCCAGAGCCUGAGAGUCUUGUAGCAAGGCUUAUUGACCACUCAUGUAUCCGAUGCUCUGAUGUGUUAUGAAUUUUUUCUAAAUUUAGUUAAAAGUAGAAGAUCCAGAUACAUCCAGGUUUGUCAAAGAAUUCAAUUUUUGCCCAGUGCUCGAAGAAAAUUCAGGGCCAUGUUUUGAAAACAUGAAGGACAGGGGAAACAUGUGUCAAGUACGGUGAAGUACAGUUCUAUUAUGCAUGGACAUCUUUUGUGCUGAAGAACUGGAAAUCUUCUGUCAAGUAGUGGUACAAAAUCAAUUUUGUAUGAGAGAUGAGUAAACUUGUAUUCUUUGUUUGUUUGCUGGUAAGGCAGCAUUUGUAUCAUACAUAAUUACAUCAUCAUUGUCCUUAAUUUUUACUGGUAAAAGAAUGGAGAAUUGAGUAAAUUUUUCAGUUGGAAGCAGAAUAUCUUUUAUUGGUGGUCUUCAUCUGUAGUACUGAACAGAGCAAUGAAACUUUUGCAGGAAUAUGGAAUCUUCGAGUAAUGGGUAGGUGGUUUGCUUUUUCUAGGCUGAUAAGUUGGUCGCCCAUGUGUGGAAAACCAGAGCCAAGUCCAUGAGGUAAAACAUUGGUUAGUUUACUGGAUUGCAAAAGACUCGGAGGCUGUUCUGAAUUGCCAUGUAACUAGUCAUUUUGAUCUCUUUUUACCUAAGAAUAUUGCAACUCUGAAGCAUAUCCCAGACCAAUUAAGUUUACUAACCUUGAGUUUA